GGGGAGAGAGACGCGGUGUUGUGUCUUGGGUAUAAGUAAGAAAUGCAGCAGCACCUGAUGCAGAUGCAGCCCAUGAUGGCAGCCUAUUAUCCCAACAACGUCACUACUGAUCACAUUCAACAGUAUCUUGAUGAAAACAAAUCACUGAUUUUGAAGAUUGUUGAGGGCCAGAAUUCGGGAAAAAUCAGCGAAUGUGCAGAGAACCAAGCAAGACUACAGAGAAACCUCAUGUAUUUGGCUGCAAUUGCUGAUUCUCAACCACAACCACCUACAAUGCAUGCCCAGUUCCCCUCCAGCAGCAUUUUGCAGCCAGGAGCACACUACAUGCAGCACCAACAAGCUCAACAAAUGACACCACAAUCCCUGAUGGCUGCAAGAUCUUCCAUGCUGUACACUCAACAACAGUUUGCAGCGCUGCAACAACAGCAAGCCUUACACAGCCAACUUGGCAUGAUCUCUGGUGGAAGCCCAGGACUUCAUAUGCUGCAAAGUGAGGCCAGCACUGCAGGAGGCAGCGGAGGGCUUGGCGCAGGAGGGUUUCCUGAUUUUGUCCGUGAUGCUGGUGGUAGGGGAAUGGCAGGUGGAAGUAAGCAAGAUAUUGGGACUGCAGGGUCUGCUGAUGGGCGAGGGGGCAGCUCUGCAGGUGGGGGUAGUGAUGGAGGUGAAACUCUGUACUUAAAAUCGACUGAUGAUGGGAAUUGAGAGGUGAGAAAUGAUGAACCUACUGGUUUGUUAACAACCCAACUUAGGAGAGUUUAGUCAGAAAGUUGAUUUAGAAAAAGAAAAUGGAAAGGACUUUUUGUUUAGAGAACUUAUUGUAUGACGUAAAAGGGAAAAAAUGGUGAGGGCCUAAUCCCCAAACCUUUGUCUUGGAUGUUUCAAUGUUGGUUAGACUAUGAAUGUUGUGCUAGUGUAAUCAUGUAAAUUGUAGGUUAUAUUCUGGUUUGCGUUGUUCUUGUUAAGUUUAUUUGUUUUGAGCGUUCGUUGGUA
rnacentral:misc_RNA from 1 species